UAGGUUUCUCAUUUUCAUACUUGAGGGCUAUGGAAUUCACUAAAAUAGUGGGAGAUAUAAUUAGAUAAAAAAUCUCAUCUAACUUGUGCAUGUCAUCAUGAGUAGUCUUUGUAUGUUCUUAUAUACACAUCUGCAUCUUUACUAUCACUGUAUGGGAUAAUCUUAGAUUGACCGAACUUCAUAUAAUGGUUGAGAAAAAGAAGAUGAAGAAUAUCUUCAUCAUGGGUAUCU
rnacentral:lncRNA from 1 species